UCAGUACCUAGUAUCGCCAUUAUAAUGCUGUAUUACAUUGUAUUGGCUAUUAUAUGUAUUGGGGUGCGUAUGUGUGGGGUGCGCGUGACGAGUUUUCAACAUGGUCGCUUGCGUGUAUCGUUUGUUUAAUGUCGACAAUAGCGUGUUGUUGAAAUAGUUCUACUCUUUCGAUGCCCCAUCACCUAGAGCAUUCCCACAACAUCACCUGAUUCUUGGAUAUGUCUUAAAUACUUACUACGGUUGUCUUCAAUCGUCUUAUAUCUGUGGCCAUAAAGGUUUACGCUAUCUGUGUUGUUCGACGAACAGCGCCAUGCUUCCACACUGGCUGUCGUACAUGGUGUUCCGCAAACAGAGAUCCAUAACCUAUUUUGCACGUAAACCUUCUUGUGUGAUGAUUACUUGUUCACAAGGUAACUUUCACUUCCACUCUUUUAAUUAUUUAUUGAAUCAACACGUUGUAUAUUCAAACAAUAAUUGGAGUACACAUAAUAAUUUUCCCCUUUUUUUUUUCUUUUAGGUUUUCGCUAUCUGUAUUAUUCGACGAACGGUGUCGCACUUCCUUUUAAUUUAUCCACAAUAUAGUUAAUAACACUUGGUAACCUUGUAUUUUGCACUGAGACAAUUGAAACUAAUUUAUUCACUUAUUUUAGGUAGCUGUCAUACAUUAUGUUC